UUUAAUUUGUUUCUGUAUACGUAAAACAAUUAUUUGUUCCAAAAACUCUUAAAUGUUUAAUUUCGGGUUGUUUCCUAAAAUAUAUUUCAUGCAUGUUUUAUCAUUGAUUGAACUCGUACCAGUUCUUUUGAUUGUAUAGACAGGCGUAUUAACACUUUCUGCCCAAAUUGUUUUAUUUAGAUUUUUCGUAUGUAACAUAGUACUUGCGGCUUUUACUACCGUCCGGUUACAGCUGCAACACGAUCAAGAAGUAAACACUGAAGGUGCCAGUUUUGAUCUUGUUAAUUAAACAUGAAAAGAGAUACAUUUAUUAUUUAUAUGGUAUUCGUCUUCAGUCAGGGGAUUGGCGGAGACAGGAGCGUGGAGGCUCAAAACUCACAAAAAAAUAAUGGCACAUUUAUGCACGAGAAAUUACGCAAAACUAGCAGCUUAGUCUUUUUCUUAUAUGGCCUACAAAGAUGACACGAGUCGUAAAAAUAUUGUUACAAAAACAGUGGAUCGUGAGUUAAAAAGGUUAAACAUUACUAGUCAAAACCAU